rnacentral:tRNA from 1 species
CAAAAAGUAGCUUAAAAAGCAUUCAGCUUACAAUUGAAAGAUGUCUUCACCAGACCUUUUUGA